GACGAACGCUGGCGGCGUGCCUAAUACAUGCAAGUUGAGCGAUGAAGAUUGGUGCUUGCACCAAUUUGAAGAGCAGCGAACGGGUGAGUAACGCGUGGGGAAUCUGCCUUUGAGCGGGGGACAACAUUUGGAAACGAAUGCUAAUACCGCAUAACAACUUUAAACAUAAGUUUUAAGUUUGAAAGAUGCAAUUGCAUCACUCAAAGAUGAUCCCGCGUUGUAUCAGCUAGUUGGUGAGGUAAAGGCUCACCAAGGCGAUGAUACAUAGCCGACCUGAGAGGGUGAUCGGCCACAUUGGGACUGAGACACGGCCCAAACUCCUACGGGAGGCAGCAGUAGGGAAUCUUCGGCAAUGGACGAAAGUCUGACCGAGCAACGCCGCGUGAGUGAAGAAGGUUUUCGGAUCGUAAAACUCUGUUGGUAGAGAAGAACGUUGGUGAGAGUGGAAAGCUCAUCAAGUGACGGUAACUACCCAGAAAGGGACGGCUAACUACGUG
rnacentral:rRNA from 1 species